AACAUUGGAAAAUGGGGGCAACCCUGAUCCAGCCAUGCCGCGUGUGUGAAGAAGGUCUUCGGAUUGUAACGCACUUUACGUUGGGAGAAAGGGCUUUAGGUUAAUACCCUGAAGUUUUGAUGAUACCCACAGAAUAAGCAGCGGCUAACUCUGUGCCCGCAGCCGCGGUAAUACAGAGGGUGCAAGCGUUAGUCAGAAUUACUGGGCGUAAAGCGCGCGUAGGUGGUUCAGUAAGAUGGGUAUAAAAUCCCCGGGCUUAACCUGGGAACUGCUUUCAUAACUGCUGAGCUAGAGUACGGUAGAGGGUAGUGGAAUUUCCUGUGUAGCGGUGAAAUGCGUAGAUAUAGGAAGGAACACCAGUGGCGAAGGCGACUACCUGGACUGAUACUGACACUGAGGUGCGAAAGCGUGGGGAGCAAAC
rnacentral:rRNA from 1 species